rnacentral:lncRNA from 1 species
UUUCCUCCAGCACUGUUCUUCGUCUCCAACACGCGUAUAUUGCCUGCUUUCUCCAUCGCAAGAACAGGCAGUCUCAGAUUCACCAAUCCACUCCACGGAAAGCAAGCUCAGGCCACCUUCAUCUGCUUCUCCACCAAGUAAGAAGACAGCAGCGGCUCUUCCUUCUCCUGCACACCACCCACCUCUAUCUCUAUUCUUCCUCCACCGGUCUACCCGAAGCAACCAUAGUAGCAGGCCCGUCCCUAGGGGCGCGCGAGCCGUGCGUUCGUGCAGGGCCUCCAUUUUCCAGGGUCUCCGGUCUGUCUCAUCAGUUCCUGGCCUAAACCUUGUUUUCCUUAUCGCUAGCGCUCUCCUGAACAUCCCAAGCGUAAUUCUCUGUCCGCGUCGGUGGCUCCACGCCUGUUCUUCGUCUCCUGAUCGGGAUGAAGAUUUGAGUAUUUAACUUGAUCUCAUGAAAAGGGCUAUGGCUUAUGGAUAGGUUUAUUAUGGAAGAAUCACAAGUGCUAUCCAACAAUCAGACACUUGAUCAUAGUUCUAUAAUUGAUAGUAAAGAGUCAGAUAGACAAAAAAUAAUUUUGAGGUUAAGUAAGAUCUUAUUAAAAACAUAAACGUGCAAAUGGACAAUAUUGGUGAUAAUGAAAUACUUCUAUUACGGAUGUUGGAUAUUCUAUUUUACUAGCCUAUUAUGCCUCCCAUUUCAGAGUUUGGUACAGGGCCUCCAUUAAUACCGGAACGGCCCUGCGUAGUAGGAGCUCCAAGUCUCGAUCUCUCUCCUGCUUAUAUUCUCCACCGAGCAAAGCAGCUGCAGCACUCCACCCUCCAAAAUCUAAUCCGGCACUGUAGCACCAAAUCAAUCACGUGCUCUCGCCAGCCAAACACCAUCCUGCUGCAGCUCCCCCUAAUCCAACAUUCCGAGCACCGCCGCCGUCAGCCGUCUACUUCCGUCCGUAGUACGGCUACCAAAAUCCAAGCACCAGCGGGCCUGGAUGCUGGAGCCUCGACUUUCAAGAUGAUGCGGCGGCAACUUCCGCCUAGGAAGCUUCGGCUCCCCCAGCAGGCGGUCGGCGGUCGGCGCGCGGCACGUCGGGCAGGACCAGGAACGUCCGCCCGCAAGCCAGC